GAUGAACGCUAGCUACAGGCUUAACACAUGCAAGUCGAGGGGCAGCAUAAUUAUUGCUUGCAAUAAUUGAUGGCGACCGGCGCACGGGUGAGUAUCGCGUAUCCAACUUUCCCAUAACUAGGGGAUAAUCCGUCGAAAGGCGGUCUAAUACUCUAUGUUGUCUAUUUAUGGCCUCAUAUUUAGACGAAAGAUUUAUCGGUUAUGGUUAGGGAUGCGUCCGAUUAGGUAGUAGGCGGGGUAACAGCCCACCUAGCCUACGAUCGGUAGGGGUUCUGCGAGGAAGGUCCCCCACAUUGGAACUGAGACACGGUCCAAACUCCUACGGGAGGCAGCAGUGAGGAAUAUUGGUCAAUGGACGAGAGUCUGAACCAGCCAAGUAGCGUGCAGGAUGACGGCCCUAUGGAUUGUAAACUUCUUUUGUAGAGGAAUAAUGGCAGCUACGAGUAGCUGAGAUGCAUGUACUCUACGAAUAAGUAUCGGCUAACUCCGUGCCAGCAGCCGCGGUAAUACGGAGGAUACGAGCGUUAUCCGGAAUUAUUGGGUUUAAAGGGUGCGUAGGUGGCGUAUUAAGUCAGUGGUGAAAAGCUGCAGCUCAACUGUAGUCUUGCCGUUGAAACUGAUAUGCUAGAGAGGAGACGAGGUAUGCGGAAUGUGUGGUGUAGCGGUGAAAUGCAUAGAUAUCACACAGAACGCCGAUUGCGAAGGCAGCGUACCACGCUCCGUCUGACACUGAAGCACGAAAGCGUGGGGAUCAAACAGG
rnacentral:rRNA from 1 species